rnacentral:tRNA from 1 species
GUAAAUAUAGUUUAAACAAAACAUUAGAUUGUGAUUCUAAAAUUAAAAACUGCCUUUUUAUUUACC